rnacentral:rRNA from 1 species
GCAUAUCAAUAAGCGGAGGAAAAGAAACCAACAGGGAUUGCCCUAGUAACGGCGAGUGAAGCGGCAACAGCUCAAAUUUGAAAUCUGGCCUUCGGGUCCGAAUUGUAAUUUGUAGAGGAUGCUUUUGGUGAGGUGCCUUCCGAGUUCCCUGGAACGGGACGCCAUAGAGGGUGAGAGCCCCGUCUGGUUGGACACCGAUCCUCUGUAAAGCUCCUUCGACGAGUCGAGUAGUUUGGGAAUGCUGCUCUAAAUGGGAGGUAUAUGUCUUCUAAAGCUAAAUAUUGGCCAGAGACCGAUAGCGCACAAGUAGAGUGAUCGAAAGAUGAAAAGCACUUUGAAAAGAGAGUUAAAAAGUACGUGAAAUUGUUGAAAGGGAAGCGCUCAUGACCAGACUUGGGCUUGGUUGAUCAUCCAGGGUUCUCCCUGGUGCACUCUUCCAGCUCAGGCCAGCAUCAGUUCGCUGUGGGGGAUAAAGGCUUCGGGAAUGUGGCUCCUCCGGGAGUGUUAUAGCCCGUUGUGUAAUACCCUGUGGUGGACUGAGGUUCGCGCAUCUGCAAGGAUGCUGGCGUAAUGGUCAUCAGCGACCCGUCUUGAAACACGGACCAAGGAGUCGUCUUCGUAUGCGAGUGUUCGGGUGUUAAACCCCUACGCGUAAUGAAAGUGAACGCAGGUGAGAGCUUCGGCGCAUCAUCGACCGAUCCUGAUGUUCUCGGAUGGAUUUGAGUAAGAGCAUACGGGGCCGGACCCGAAAGAAGGUGAACUAUGCCUGUAUAGGGUGAAGCCAGAGGAAACUCUGGUGGAGGCUCGCAGCGGUUCUGACGUGCAAAUCGAUCGUCAAAUAUGGGCAUGGGGGCGAAAGACUAAUCGA